rnacentral:rRNA from 1 species
UACGUAGGGUGCGAGCGUUAAUCGGAAUUACUGGGCGUAAAGCGUGCGCAGGCGGCUUUGUAAGACGGAUGUGAAAGCCCCGGGCUCAACCUGGGAAGUGCAUUCGUGACUGCAAGGCUAGAGUGUGUCAGAGGGAGGUGGAAUUCCGCGUGUAGCAGUGAAAUGCGUAGAGAUGCGGAGGAACACCGAUGGCGAAGGCAGCCUCCUGGGAUAACACUGACGCUCAGGCACGAAAGCGUGGGGAGCAAACAGG